rfam:Myotis lucifugus cont2.9480, whole genome shotgun sequence.
CAUGCACCGGUGGGGUCCCUCAGCCUGGCCUGCAGGGACUGAGCCGAAACUGGCAAUCCAAUAUCCCCUGAGGAGUCCCAGAUUGUGACAGGGCACAGGCCAGGCUGAGGGACCCCACUGGUGCACA